rfam:Monodelphis domestica chromosome 4, whole genome shotgun sequence.
GACUCUUUAGUGCAGUAGGCAGCACGUCAGUCUCAUAAGCUGAAGAUCCUGAGUUCAAUCCUUGAAGCA